CACAAGCGGUGGAGUAUGUGGUUUAAUUCGAUGCAACGCGAAGAACCUUACCUGGUCUUGACAUCCCGGAGACCCUUAGGAAACUAGGGGGUGCCUUCCAUCUGGAAGAAUCUGGAGGCAGGUGCUGCAUGGCUGUCGUCAGCUCGUGUCGUGAGAUGUUGGGUUAAGUCCCGCAACGAGCGCAACCCUUGCCUUUAGUUGCCAGCAGUUCGGCUGGGCACUCUAAAGGGACUGCCGGUGUUAAACCGGAGGAAGGUGGGGAUGACGUCAAGUCCUCAUGGCCUUUAUGACCAGGGCUACACACGUACUACAAUGGCCGAUACAAAGGGCAGCGACACUGCGAGGUGAAGCCAAUCCCGUAAAAUCGGUCUCAGUCCGGAUUGGAGUCUGCAACUCGACUCCAUGAAGUUGGAAUCGCUAGUAAUCGUGGAUCAGCAUGCCACGGUGAAUACGUUCCCGGGCCUU
rnacentral:rRNA from 1 species